rnacentral:rRNA from 1 species
CCUACGGGAGGCAGCAGUGAGGAAUAUUGGUCAAUGGACGAGAGUCUGAACCAGCCAAGUAGCGUGAAGGAUGACUGCCCUAUGGGUUGUAAACUUCUUUUAUAUGGGAAUAAAAUGUUCCACGUGUGGGAUUUUGUAUGUACCAUAUGAAUAAGGAUCGGCUAACUCCGUGCCAGCAGCCGCGGUAAUCCGGAGGAUCCGAGUGUUAUCCGGAUUGAUUGGGUUUAAAGGGAGCGUAGGUGGAUUGUUAAGUCAGUUGUGAAAGUUUGCGGCUCAACCGUAAAAUUGCAGUUGAUACUGGCAGUCUUGAGUACAGUAGAGGUGGGCGGAAUGCGUGGUGUAGCGGUGAAAUGCUUAGAUAUCACGAAGAACUCCGAUUGCGAAGGCAGCUCACUGGACUGCAACUGACACUGAGGCUCGAAAGUGUGGGUAUCAAACAGGAUUAGAUACCCGUGUAGUC